AUGCAUUCAUGUAAUGCCUUGUUAGGAAGAAAUUUUUUAUAGAUAAAAAUCAUGACCACCGAUGUGACCUUUGACUCCCAAAAUGCAGAUACUGCACUCUGCCUUUGAAAGACCUUACACAACUAAAACACUAUUGCAAAAGCAAAGUGCAGUAUCUACGAACUAAAUGUGUUCAUUCAACUUUUUCUCAUGCUUCUUAAUACAUUUUGAUUGUUUUUAAUAACUGUAAUAGUUUUAUUUAUGUUUGUGAAUGCUAAAAAUGCUCAUUUUACCACAAAGAGAGUAUUUAACUCACUUUAUUAAUUUUUAUUUAUUAAAAAAUUACAUUAGACGAGGUUUACUUUAAAACAGUAGUUAAAAAUUAACAUAAUUUAAAAAUAGAAGAACAUGUUUGUCCCAAAGAUAUUAUUGUUUCAAAUGUACUAAAAGUGGUAACUAACAGUAUGUACAUUUUAGUUAAUUUUCAUCUCAAAGUAGCACAGUUAUGUAAACUUAGAUAUUUUUAAGAUUAGCUUAAGAAGUACUAAACUAAAUGUUUUAAUAUUAAGUAGCCUACAAAAUUAGUUCGUGGAGAAAGAGCACUUAUUAUGGAAGUGUACUUUUUCACAUAGUGUGCUUUCUGCUGGCCCGGCUGCGCUCGUCAGGUUGACUGGGCUCCGCUAUCUUUGCCUAACAAUAAAACUUUACCAGACUCUUAUCAAACUUUUGAUGGAGUAACCCCUGUCAAUACAAUUUGAUUAGCUGCCUAAAAAGUGGAGAGAUGUUCGAAUCAACAAACACCAAUGCGCUUGAAUCGGAUUAUAUCAUUAUUGUCGGAGGAUAUUGCCUUCAAUGGACGAGCACAGAAAUAAGCGGGAAGAUGUAGGCUGCCCAAUAAACAAUGAAGAGACAGAUCCAGAACAUCAGAACUGAAGCGACACACAUCAGAAAUCCAGGAGCAACAGCAGCAACAACACGAAAGAUCACAAUGACAUCAUCUGUACUGAGACCUGUGGUAAAUAAUAAAGAGUUAUUACUGUAAAUGAAUCUGAUCUUAGAUCAGUGAAUAUCAUUACUGUGACUGAAUCUGUCUGAUCUUAUCAGUUCAUUAAAUAAACACUAAUAAUCACAGCUACUGUACCUGAACACGUCUGACAGAGAUUCUUGAUGUUGAGAUGUUGAGUUUGGUUUGUGAUGGGAUUGUUGAGUACACAUCUGUAUGUGUUGUUAUCCUGAUAUUCAACCUCCAGAGGUAGAGAGAGUCUGAUGUUGAGAUCAGACACACUGAUGAUGGACAAUAAACUGUUUCCUUUAUACCAGGACAGACUCACAUCUCUUACAUCUCUAAUAUUCAACACUGAACACACAAAGACACAUGAUGAACAUUGUGAAGAGUCUCUGCUGAUGACAGGAACGGGCAGAUGAGCUGAAAAACAUGAGAGAAAUAAGAAUCAAAGCAAAUAUUAUUAAUAUUAGUCAAGAGGUCCGAUCUAUUGACACUGUUUAAUGUCUUCAGUCAUAAUGGAUUAAUAAAUAAAAUGGAGGUAAAAUCAUCUUGAGGUUGAGAAACAAAAUAAGGUGCAUUUAUAUUUAAUCCCAAACCCCUGAGUUUACACAGCUAAGAUAAAUAUGACAGUUAAUAUGUAGAUCUUUACUCACUA